rnacentral:rRNA from 1 species
ACGGAGGGUGCAAGCGUUAAUCGGAAUUACUGGGCGUAAAGCGCGCGUAGGUGGCUAAGUCAGCCAGGUGUGAAAGCCCCGGGCUCAACCUGGGAACGGCAUCUGGAACUGCUUGGCUAGAGUGCAGGAGAGGAAGGUAGAAUUCCCGGUGUAGCGGUGAAAUGCGUAGAGAUCGGGAGGAAUACCAGUGGCGAAGGCGGCCUUCUGGACUGACACUGACACUGAGGUGCGAAAGCGUGGGUAGCAAACAG